rnacentral:rRNA from 1 species
GACGAACGCUGGCGGCGUGCUUAACACAUGCAAGCCGAGCGACUGCAUUCUUUUCGGAGGGUGUAUGGAGCGGCGAACGGGUGAGUAACACGUGAGUAAUCUGCCUUUGGCUUGGGAAUAACUUCGGGAAAUCGGGGCUAAUGCCUGAUGUUUACUGUCUGCUGCAUGGUGGGUGGUGGAAAGAUUUUUUGGCCAGGGAUGAGCUCGCGGUCUAUCAGCUGUUGGUGGGGUAAUGGCUUACCAAGGCUUUGACGGGUAGCCGGCCUGAGAGGGUGUUCGGCCACACUGGGACUGAGACACGGCCCAGACUCCUACGGGAGGCAGCAGUGAGGAAUAUUGGUCAAUGGGCGCAAGCCUG